rnacentral:ncRNA from 1 species
UGCAAAUCCUUGGUGAUGAAAAGGGAAUGCCGUGAGAAUCGGCAGCAGUUCCCGCUGCUGUAAGUUCCGUCUACGGCCGCAACACGCUCGAGCCACUGGUUUUGCAACUGGGAAGGCGUUGCGGCAGGAACAAGCCAGAAGACCUGCCUUGGCAA